rnacentral:lncRNA from 1 species
CCCACGCCUUGACCUACGCCACAUUGUGAAUUCUCAUCUUGAGACUAAACCAAUACACCCCCUAAUUAACUAAACAAACCUCUUUUUGAUCCGACAUGUUUGUCUUCAAAAUCAGCUUCAUUAUGCACUAACAAAAAAUAAACAUGUGUGUCCCAUAAGAAGGCACCAUAGAAUAAUUGGAGAGAAUAUUCCAAAGACUGACUAUUCACUGUUACUCCACCGAACCCGG